UAUAAAUUUGAGGACAACUUAAUUAAAAUCAAAGGAACAAUAUCUAUCUCUUUGUAGCCAACAUCAACAUAUGUAUACUUGUAAAGACAAAAGACUAGGGAAUAUAUGUGAGAGUUUGGUGACCGUGUACGAGUGUGUCAAAACUUUCAUUUUCAUUCACACAAAUUCCUAAUUUCUUGAGUUUCUUCAGUUGUAGAAAAUCAUUAUUCAGACCAAGAUACUUGGUAUGAAUACCUACCAAUGAUAUGGAGGUGAGUGGUGAAGAGAAAGAGAUUUUGACAGAUUGGGCUUGUGACUGCUACCAAGAUGGGACAUUGCAUGAUUUGGUCAGUUUUGAAGUUGAAGCCUUAGAUGAUAUGAAGAAGUUGGAGACAUAUGUGAUGGUUGCUAUGUGGUGUGCUCAAGAAAAUCCAGCCAACUCACCCAGCCCCUCCCAACUCACCCAGCCAACUCGGUUUCAGAAACUCAGCAGUCAUCAGCGGAGCGUUGAGUCUCCGCCGACGGCGUCUUAGCCCACUUCGCCUCCGGGUAUUCCUCUUGUGUUAGUUGCCAUCAGCUAUAUGGAGUGAAGUCCAUGUGUUCGAUAAAUGGUCGCCGAAACCUUUUUCUACCUUUUAUAUAUGCCUUCACUUGUAACGUCAUAGCCUCGAAGUGAAAGGUUACUUCUUUUCUGUGUUACCCAACCAUUGUAGAACUCACCAGAGAUCUGAGAAAGCCUCAUUCUCAGAAUUACGUCAACAAGCAAUGAUCUACAACAAAGUUGGGAAACUAUGCACCAAGCUAAACCUGGGGAAAAGGUACAGUUCCACAAAACCCAAUAGGGAAAUCUCAGACCCAACUGAAUGAAUCUGCAAAGUGAUGAUGUCCAAUCCAGUGGCAGCAAUCCACACUGGGGUUAAGGUUUCGCCAGAGAUGGUUGACCACGUCCUUGUCCGAUUCCAGAACGCUGGAAUGCUCACAUACCGGUUUUUUGAGUGGGCAGCGAAGCAACGGGGCUAUGACCACAGUGUCCGAGCAUACCACGCCAUGAUUGGGUCACUAGCAAAGAUACGUCAGUACCAGCUCAUGUGGGAGCUGGUGAGUAGCAUGAGGUCAAAGGAAUUGAUCAACGUUGAAACAUUCUGUAUCAUUAUGAGAAAGUACACCAGAGCUCAGAAAGUAGAGGAAGCUCUUUAUACCUUUAAUGUCAUGGAGAAGUAUGGUGUUGAACCCAAUCUAACAGCUUUUAAUGGGCUUCUGAGUGCUUUGUGCAAAUCCAAGAAUGUGAGAAAAGCUCAGGAGGUUUUUGAUGCUAUGAAGGCUCGGUUUGAACCAGAUUCGAAAACUUAUAGCAUUUUGAUAGAUGGGUGGGGGAAAGAACCCAAUUUGCUUAAAGCCAGAGAAGUUUUCAGAGAUAUGGCUGAUAUUGGUAUUAGUCCUGAUAUUGUGACUUAUGGUAUAAUGGUUGAUGUUCUCUGUAAGGCUGGGAGAGUUGAUGAAGCUAUUGGAAUUGUGAGAACAAUGGAUUCCAAUGGUUGCAAACCGUCUUCGUUUAUUUACAGUGUUUUGGUUGACACAUAUGGGGUGGAGAACAGGAUUGAAGAUGCUGUGGAUGCCUUUAUGGAAAUGGAAAGCAAGGGUGUUGAAGCAGAUGUGGUUGUGUAUAAUGCUUUGAUUGGUGCUUUCAUUAAGGUGGACAGGUUCAAGAAUGCUUAUAGGGUGUUAAAUGACAUGGAUUCAAAAGGGAUAAUGCCUAAUUCAAGGACUUGUAAUGUGAUGUUAAAUGGCUUGGUUGGCAGAGGGAAGACAGAGGAGGCAUUUAAGGUGUUUCGGAGGAUGGUUAAGGUAUGCGAGGCGGAUUCAGACACCUACACGAUGAUGAUAAAGAUGUUUUGUGAGAAGGAUGAGGUUGAGAUGGCUCUGAAAGUGUGGAAAUACAUGAAGUUGAAGCGAUUUGUUCCGAGUAUGCAUACUUUUUCGGUUCUAAUAAAUGGGUUGUGUGAGAAGGGUGAUGCUACACAGGCCUGUGUUCUAAUGGAGGAGAUGAUAGAGAAGGGAAUUCGACCUUCAGGGGUAACUUUAGGGAGGUUGAGACAGUUGUUGAUAAAGGAGGGAAGAGAUGAUGUUCUCAAAUUUCUUCAGCAGAAGAUGAAUCUUAUGGUUAAAGAGCCUCUUUGUGAUUGACUUUAUGUUCAUCUUUUCUCAUUGAUGGAUGGUACGGCACUUAGCUUCUUAUGUAAUAAGAUAUCAGUCUCCAGAUUAUAAGGUGUAAAGCAUACUUAUAUAUGAAUACGAUUACUCCUUCAAAGAGAAAACUCUUCAAAGAUCCUACUAUUCCUCUCCAACCAAAUAGCCCAAAAAGUAGCGAGGACGGUACACUGCCAUAAACGCACCAACCUCUGUCCUCCCUCAAACUGAGAGAGGAACAGGUGCUCACAAGAGGAAGGCAUACACCAAUAGACCCCAAACUCAUGUAAAACUUUAUUCCAAAGAGCUCUGGCAAACGAACACCGAAGAAACAAAUGACCCACUGACUCGCUCUCGUUUUUACAGUUAACACACCAAUUUGGCGACAAGUAAUGGAAGGGUCUUCUCCUCUACAAAUUAACAUGGACACUUAACUUGUCUAAGAAUAAUAACCAUCCAAACACUUUAACUUUGGAAGGAACACCACUUUUCCAUAACCUCUUUGCCCACGGCAGCAAUAAGUUAUUAGAUAAAUAUAAAUAUAAAAACCGAUCUUUUUUUAAGUACUUCUUUCCUCUCUCUCUCAAUCUCUAUUCUGAACCAUCUGCAGAAUAGAUUCUUUGUUUAAGUUGAUUUUCCCAAGUAUUCUGUAUUUUCCAAUUAUUAUCAACUCAAUGUACAGUCAAACACAAAUAA